GACGAACGCUGGCGGCGUGCUUAACACAUGCAAGUCGAACGGGGUCCAACUUGUGGCAACACAAGGGAAGAUCUAGUGGCGAACGGGUGAGUAACACGUGAGCAACCUGCCCCGAAGACCGGGAUAAGCCUGGGAAACCGGGUCUAAUACCGGAUGUCCCCACCGAAUCGCAUGGUUUGGUGAGGAAAUGGAUUCCGCUUCGGGAGGGGCUCGCGGGCUAUCAGCUUGUUGGUGGGGUAACGGCCUACCAAGGCGACGACGGCUAGCUGG
rnacentral:rRNA from 1 species